CAAGAAAUCAUCUAUCUGCUGGUUUACUCCCCAAAUGGCUGCAAUAACCAGGGCUGAACCAGGCAGAAGCCAGGAUCCUGGAACUCCUGGUCUUGGUCUCUCCACUUCUUGGGCCAUCUUCCCCUGUUUUCCCAGGUAUGUUAGUGGGGAACUGAACUGAAAGUGAAGCAACUGGGGCUGGAACCAACAUUGCAAUAGGACACGCUGGUUUAAAAAUUAACAGAAAAUUGAUCUCUGUUAAACAUAGGAGUGGGAAUAAGAGAGGGAGGAGAUAUAUAGGACGGCACAUGCUCACUCGGACUUACCUCCAAUGGUGGAACUAGAAAUGUGCCAGGGGAUUUCAACUCAAUCUUACCAAGGAGGCAGGUACCAAUGCCAGCACACUUGGUAAAGUGAUAAAUAUAAAUACACAACUGAUCAAAAAGAUAUGGUAAGUGUCGAAGAGAUUUCACAAAUAAGACCAGUGUAAGCAAAUAAUGAAGGAUAGAAUUAAAAGGGAGAGAAUGAUCCUGCGGGGGAAGCAAGACACACAGCAGACUCAUAGAAUGGCAAAUGCCCAAAACAGCACUCCUGCCUCAGAAUCAACCCUUGGGACAUUCGGAUCUGACUAAAAGGUCCAUGAGAGUCUCACAGGCAUGGAAAGCCAUGACAUGGUGGCAAAAAACAAUCUAAAUGAAAGAUCCUGGUGAACAAGACCCCAGCAGAAGGAACAGGCCAUCAAGGAAAGAGGCGCCUGUCUCUGAAGGGAGGAAGGAACCUCCACUGUGAUACGGCCUUGACUAAACAAGUACAGUUAGUGAACUCAAGGGGCUUCCAUAGCCUAGACAGCUCAUAGCAAGAAUCUCGGGUGAUUGCUGACAUCAUAAAUAAGAGUGCCAAUUGUUAAAUCAACAACGGGAGUCACUGGGUACAUGCUCCCCACGUAGGAUCUCUGCCCUUAAUGUGUUUAACUAUGAAACUUAAAAACAACACUACUAGUCGAACAAUACCCUAUACCUGGUUCAGUUGUGUGAGUGCAGCCUAUUGAAAUCCCUGCUUAGUAUAUACUCAGUUGAUCCUCAGUAUAUGAAGCACCCUGGGCUCUGUUACUGAAAGGAUUUAGGACAGAAGGACCAUCUAGUACAGUGGCGACGAGGUAGUCAAGUCUAGCAGAGCCUCAAGUUGAAAAAAGUGUCCAUUUCAGUGCUUUGAGGGACCUGGGAAGAGUACUUCUCUGGAUCUUGCUCUUGAGGCUAAUGAUGUAAGGUCUGAUACUCUUUUCUGAUGCUGGGCGGCAGCAGUGAACAUAGCUGCCAGUCAGCCACGCAAUCAUGAAAACAAACAACAACUGAUACUCUACAGCCUGCUGUGGUCUCAGUUGUCUGCCAACAGCUUCCAGACCUACAAAUUUCCAGGUCUAUCAGGAAGCAAGUUCACCUCUGAAAGCCAUCUCUGAAGACAGAGGGAUGCCUUUCCUUGCCCCAUCGUUGUACCAAGCAUCCAUGAACAAAGUGGACACAGUGGCAAGGCUGAGGUUAAAGUCAGGCUCAGUAAAAACGACUUCCAGUCUCCAAGACUGACCUGGUUGCAGCCACUGUGUAGUACCCGAUGUGUGAUGAACAAAGACCAACAUUGGACUUCUGAUAUUGCAUCAUUCCCUGGGUUGAAUGACCUAAUGGCAGAUCAAUUGCAAUGCGACACGUCCAUCGUAGAAGGGGCAGUGUUUUGUUCUUAAAGGAAUAAACACUUUGGUUACUGAAUCCCCUUCCUUACCUGCAGUGCUUCUGACCACUUAUUCAGAGUGCCUUACCCACAGCAUUGUUUCUGAUGUGUUGCUUCACAGCCAAAUAAAUGUGAUAAUGGAUCCAUGCUCCUGAAAUUCCCUGGUAUUAUCAUUUUCCCACUGUCCUGAACAGAUGGUCUGAUAGAAAGGUUUUUUGAAGACUCAGUUGUGGUACAAAGUAGGUGAUGUUACCUUGUAGAGCUCAGGCAAGGUUUUCCAGAAGACUGUGCAUGUUCUGAAUCAGUGUCCAAAUGUGGUGCUGUUUCUCCAACAGACAGGAUUCACAGGCUUAGGAAUGAAGUGGUAGAGGUAGGAGUGGCACCAUCCACCAUUACCCCUAGUGACCAUAUUCCUCUGGAACUUAAUUCCAGAGGGACAGUUGGACGCUGAUCAUCCAGAUCAAGAAGUGAUCAGGAAACCUUGUGCAAUGAUGUUGCUAUGAAGAAGAUAAAACAGAGUGAUAUGGUUGGAGGUAAUGGAUGGGGCACUAAGUUGGAUGGGAUCAGAGAAGACCCUCUGGAAAGAGAAGACAUUUGAGUAGAAAGCAACACUAUGGGAAAAACCCAGCCACAGGUAGGGACUUGGUAGUUAUUUCCAGAACAAUGGGCAACAAUAAAGCCAGGGUCUGGAAGUUAGCAGUGAGCUUGGCUUGUUUCAUAAGAUCAGAAGGAGAGAACAAGUAUGGUGGAUGAUUUCUGGACUCCCAUUAUUUAUUCUGUGGCUCUCCCUGAUUGUAACACUGAUUCAUAGCAGCCUACUUGAAGUCAUCAUGACACUUUAUUCAUUUUAUUUUAAUUGACACGUAAAAAUACACAUACUAAUGGGGUAUUUUUGAUGUUUCUAUACGUGUAUACACUAUGCAAUGUCCAUUCAGGGUAAACAUAUCUUUAUUCUCAAGCAUUUAACAUUUUUUUUGUGGUGAAAACAUUCAAAAUUCACUUGGAGUUAUUUUCAGAAAAAUUCUGAGUACAUUGUCUAUAGUGACCCUUCUAUACAACACAACACCAGAACUUCUUUUUAUUUUAUAUUUUAAAAGACAGUUACAGAGAGGUAUAGGCAAAGAGAGAGAGAAAGAGAGAGAGAGAGAGAAGAUAUCUUCCAUCCACUGGUUUACUCCCCAAAUGGCCACAACAGCCAGAGCUGGGCCAGUCUGAAGCCAGGAGCCAAGAGCUCUGCAGAGAGGAUGGCCCAGGCACCUCAGCUGCUGUUUUCCUCUGCUCUGCCAUGUUCAUUUGAUAAACACUUUUGCUGACACUCAAGAGCCAGUGGUUCACCUGCAAUGACAUAGACAGCCAAGAGGAGGUCUGAUAGGAUGGAUCCCAAGCCUCUUCCUUUAGUGAGAGAGUGAGAGAAUCAGCUGACUGUACACUUAGAGCUGUCUACAGAAAUUGCCCUUACUUCUGACAUCAACGGCAGGUUUAGAGCGUUCCCAGACCCCUGCUGCAUCAACAAUUCACUAGCAGCACUCACAGAACUCACUGGAAGGCUGUUAUCUUUCCAGUUAUAGCUGAUUAGAGGGGAGAGGUACAGACCAGAACCAAAUGAGGGCAGAAAUGUGUAGGACAUAGUCCAGAAAGGUACAAAGUACAAUUUCCAGUUGUCUUCUUCCUGGUACGGAUGCCCACUGGGGAAGCCCCUGGGGCCUUGGUGUUCAGAAUUUUACUUAGGGAUCCCUCCUGCAGGCAUGAUUGAUUAGUAGUCCAUGAGAUCUCAGUCUUCAGCCCUUCCAGAUGUUGACUGAUGCUGCAUGACCAGAAGCCCCAUCACAGGUCACGUUAUCACUGUGUAAUAUGGUCAGUCCUCACCUCUCCAGGUCACACUCUGAACUGUCCAGUGUGACUCAAGGCCCCUGAGGCACACCAGCCGAUCCUGCAGGCAUGACAUUCAAGUGGCCUGGAGAUCACUUCCUGGUAGCUGAGGACACAGGUCAAGCCUCUUUUUUAGGCAAGGUUAAAGUCCUUAUUAUACAUUUCUACCAGACAUUGCUUAACAGAUACUGAGCAUUCUGGCACCCAUUGCUCUUCUCUUAGUCUUCUAGAACCUUCUAUAUUGCUGUGGGUGUAGGAUGUCUGAGCUGCAGUGGCGUGGUCCUUCCUUGUGUAAUCAGGCACAUGUGUGCAUGAGCAGCUUGUUCUCACUCAGGUGAGGAGUUUCUUCCCCUGCUAGGUUUUCAGGGUGCACAGAGACAUUGGUGGGUGGCACCUGGGAUUCGUCAGUUCAAAGAUGUGAUGGUUACACUUGACGGUUGUUCUUAAACAGACAGAGCAGAGAGCAGACAAAGACAGGACACUGAAACUCCUAGGCCACCCCCAUGACAAUCACUGUGUCCCAACACUCAGGAUCAUCCAGGGGAUGCCUUCUUGAGCCUUUAGCCCUUCCUCUUUGACCAGAAAGUUGUCAGCUUUCCUCGAGGGUGGCUGCACUGCUUGUGAAUCCUCUCCGGGCCAUGGCGAUCCAGGCAGCUGCCCUUGUCCCAUUGUCAGGCAGCAGGCAUGUAGCAAAGAGGGAGUGGGUGCAGAAUUGCCUGAGGGCCUCAGUCCUAUGCAUACUGCUGCCUUCUGCAGCCUCCCAGGCUCUGGCUACCUUGCUUUAAUUUAGGCAAAACCACUUGGAAUGAUCACUGCUUGCAAUGACCCUUACUUCAACCUCUGCUCUUUCAGCCUAGACAUGUUCAAGCCUGACUCAAUCAGAAAUACCCCUCCCAGUUUCCUCCAUGCAGGGACAUUGUGAUGAAGUCAUUCACAUGUGGGGGCAGGGCCAGUGACAUUCCAUAUUGGAGUGCCAGUUGGAGUUGUGGCUGCUCCAUUUCUGACCCAGAUUCCUGAUAAAGCACCUGAGAAGGGGCAGUGGGUGGUAGUCCAACUACUUUGGCCCCUGCCACUCACAUGGGAGUGGAAGACCCAGAGGGAGUUCCUGGCUCCUGGCUCCUGCCAGGCCCAGCCCUGGCUGUGGUGGCCAUUGUGGAAGUGAAAAAGCAGAUGGGAGAAUUCUCUCUCCCUCAGUUUCUCCUUAUCUCUGUCUGUUACUCUGUCUUGCAAAUAAAUACAUCCUAAGAAAAAACACAUAGCGCUCUUUAAAGAACCAAGUUCUUCCAUCAAGUGGUUCGGGCAAAUUAUUUCAGUCUCUGAGCAGGCUUUCUCCUUGGUGAGCCUCCCAGGCUCUUGAGGAGUGUGCUUGCAAACACAAGUCUGUAAGACCCUCAUCAGCAUGUUAGCUAUUGUUUGUGGUGGCCACCAUGGGGGUAAAGUGAAGAGGUACACUGUCACGGGGACAUGACAGUUACUCACUCCACAUUUUCUUUUUCCUCCAAGGCUAACAUUUUCCUCUUUCCCUAUCUUAUGAUGGAUAGCAUUUAGGUACCUGAAUUGCACACACGUGUAGAUGCAUGCACACACACAUGCAGUGCACCAACUCCUCGCGCUCUCGUUUUC